GGUCCCUUCCAACCCAAACCAUACUAUGAUUCUGUGAAAUCUCCAGGGAUGCUCCGUGGCUGUGAGAUGGAGGUCAUGGCAUGGCUUUUCCUCUUCCACCCGUCUUUCCAUCAUUGCUCACGUGGGAGAAGUGGGACACUCGGCUGAGUGCUGGUGAUAGUCACGGCAAGGCUGGAGACGAGGUGGGAAGAAAAAUACAACCCAAGCAGAAGGGUUUGGUGGGGUGGGACAUCCCUGGUGCAACAUGCACAUUGCAACGCUGCUGGGUUGACUGCCCUUCUUUUCUGCUCUGAUGAAGGCUUUUUCUCCCAUUUACGUUCAUGGCACACCCCGGGGCAGACUUGAGAAAGGCAAAGGGCAGCUCCGUGCAGGGAUAACUGCUCUCCUAGGUGGGUGCUGACAGCUUGUUUUGCACAUCAAGCUUGGUGGGUGCUGCACAGUGAGACCGUUUUGAUCGCUAACUCCAUGACCUGCUCUCAAGUGACCAGUACCUGCCAACCCAUGCUCUGUAGUUCAUCUCAGACUCAUCCUGCUGCACUGCAGUCCCUGUUACUCCCCAUCUUUGACAUUUUACACCCUGAAAUGAAUCACCCUGUUCCCUUCAAGGCAUAACCCAGGUGUGGUUGUGUUUGCCCAGGAGACCGCGCUCAGCAGGCAGUUAAGACUAGGUUGUACCAGGCUGGGCUCGCCCUACCCUUCACAAUCAUCUGAUACGAUCCAGGCAGGCUUUGUGCCCUCAAACAUAUCCUGCAUACCGUAAUUCCCCACCCAAAUAUACAUCAUAGAAUGACAGAAUCAUAGAAUGGUUUGGGUUGCAAGGGACAUUUGAAGGUCAUCUAGUCCAACCCCCUGCCAUGAGCAGGGACAUCUUCGACUAGCUCAGGUUGCUCACAGACCCGUCCAACCUGACCUUGAAUGUUUUUGGGCAUGGGGCAUCGACCACCUCUCUGGGCAACCUGGGCCAGUGUCUCACCACCCUCAACGUAAAAAAUUUCUUCCUUAUAUCUAGUCCGAUUCUACCCUCUUUCAGUUUAAAGCCAUCACCCCUUGUCCUAUUGCAACAGACCCUACUAAAAAGUCUGUCCCCAUCUUUCUUAUAGGCCCCCUUUAAGUACUGAAAGGCCACAAUAAGGUCUUCCCGGAGCCUUCUCCAGGCUGAACAACCCCAACUCUCUCAGCCUGUCCUCACAGGAGAGGUGUUCCAGCCCUUGGAUCAUUUUUGUGGCCUCCUCUGGACUAGUUCUAACAGGUCCGUGUCCUACUUGCAUUGGGGGCUCCAGAGCUGGACAUAGAGGGGCAGGAUCACCUCCCUCGACCUUCUGGCCAUAUACAUCCUCCCCAUCAUGCAACACAAACCCUGUUCUUGCAGACUGCAAACCAUUCAUCCCAUUAUUUUGGGUGCUUUGAAUUAUCGCUCAAAAAGAGGAGCUUGUUUUGGGGAUCGGGGCCUCUCUUCACCAAGAUGCAUCCAAACACACCAUGUCCGGACUGUUUUGCUCAGGAGGAACAUAGCAGCUUUGCAGUAAAGACAACUGAGAUAUCGGAAUGGGAUACAGAAAGCAGGCCAAGUCACCUUUUCCCUGUAUUUGCCUGUAAUAAAGAAUAUUGACUUGUUGUUGUCAUAACUGGGUAAAAGAGGCUUUUUCUGUACCAUGCAUUGCUGUCUGUUGAACUGCUUUCCACUGGACAAGAAUGGAUGCUCAUGGUUUGGCAAGUUUUAGAAAAGAUUGUGCAGAUGCGUAAUAGUAAGGAUGGCAAAAAAAAAUGUCAGUUUUGGAGAGGAUAUAAGCCUUCUUGCUUCAAAACAAAAUCUCCAGCUAACAGGGCUCAGGAGGGAAGUUUCUUUGUGAUCCAUAACUUUUAUGCAGGGGUUUCUUUUAUCUUCUUCUGUAAUAAGACACACUGGUGAGUUUCAAGUUGCUGGGUUUGUGCAAUUGUUUUGAAUCCUGCUUGCUUAUUAUUUCUAAUAAUUCAGAAAAAAACCAGCCCUAAAAGCUCUGGCUUACCAAGACCAGCCCCUGCAAUCAGAGAGAAGUGCUUGAUAAAGUUAUUUUUGCCACCUUCAGCUGCUCCUCCCAUGUUGCACAAGGGGCAUGUGGCAAUUUGGGGUCAGGACUUCCCUGCCUCUUCGUGGUUUGCGUGGAGCACAGAGCCCAUUGUGACAGUCAGGUGAUGAUUGCUAAUGUGGCUUACAAGAAUUGCUGCAGCUUCCCAUCUGCCAAAGCUGGACAUCACUUGCUGAAGUGACCAGUGGAUCCUGCCCCGUGGCUGAAAGCAGAUCCCAGAGAUCCUGAUACAGAGGUGAUGAUGCUUUGCAUACAGAUGGUAGGAGAAGAGAAUGAAUCUCCUGUGGGAUCUGGGGUAGCUGUGCAUCAGAAGCAGGACCUCAACAAGAUUUUAGGCUCCCAUCGCCGUGCUAAGACCAUGCUAGCAGCAUCUGGGAGGAGAAGCAGACACGUAUGUGCUGGGCUCCUACUCUGGGAAGCAAGAAGGUGGCUACAGUCCAGCCUAACAUGCUGAAGGUCAGAGUCUUAACUUCUUACCCACUUUACCAUGCUUUCCUGGUGAGAUAACAGCAGGUCCCCGUGCAUUUAAGUAAAGAAAUGCCAUUCAUAUGCA